rnacentral:rRNA from 1 species
GAUGAACGCUGGCGGCGUGCCUAAUACAUGCAAGUCGAGCGAACGGACGAGAAGCUUGCUUCUCUGAUGUUAGCGGCGGACGGGUGAGUAACACGUGGAUAACCUACCUAUAGGACUGGGAUAACUUCGGGAAACCGGAGCUAAUACCGGAUAAUAUUUUGAACCGCAUGGUUCAAAAGUGAAAGACGGUCUUGCUGUCACUUAUAGAUGGAUCCGCGCUGCAUUAGCUAGUUGGUAAGGUAACGGCUUACCAAGGCAACGAUGCAUAGCCGACCUGAGAGGGUGAUCGGCCACACUGGAACUGAGACACGGUCCAGACUACUACGGGAGGCAGCAGUAGGGAAUCUUCCGCAAUGGGCGAAAGCCUGACGGAGCAACGCCGCGUGAGUGAUGAAGGUCUUCGGAUCGUAAAACUCUGUUAUUAGGGAAGAACAUAUGUGUAAGUAACUGUGCACAUCUUGACGGUACCUAAUCAGAAAGCCACGGCUAACUACGUG